UAACAGGCUGAUACCGCCCAAGAGUUCAUAUCGACGGCGGUGUUUGGCACCUCGAUGUCGGCUCAUCACAUCCUGGGGCUGAAGCCGGUCCCAAGGGUAUGGCUGUUCGCCAUUUAAAGUGGUACGCGAGCUGGGUUUAGAACGUCGUGAGACAGUUCGGUCCCUAUCUGCCGUGGACGUUUGAGAUUUGAGAGGGGCUGCUCCUAGUACGAGAGGACCGGAGUGGACGAACCUCUGGUGUUCCGGUUGUCACGCCAGUGGCAUUGCCGGGUAGCUAUGUUCGGAAUAGAUAACCGCUGAAAGCAUCUAAGCGGGAAACUAGCCUCAAGAUGAGAUCUCACUGGAACCUUGAGUUCCCUGAAGGGCCGUCGAAGACUACGACGUUGAUAGGUUGGGUGUGUAAGCGCUGUGAGGCGUUGAGCUAACCAAUACUAAUUGCCCGUGAGGCUUGACCAUAUAACACCCAAACAAUU
rnacentral:rRNA from 1 species